rnacentral:rRNA from 1 species
UGGGGAAUAUUGCACAAUGGGCGCAAGCCUGAUGCAGCAACGCCGCGUUAACGAUGAAGGUCUUCGGAUCGUAAAGUUCUGUUGCAGGGGAAGAUAAUGACGGUACCCUGUGAGGAAGCCCCGGCUAACUACGUGCCAGCAGCCGCGGUAAUACGUAGGGGGCUAGCGUUAUCCGGAUUUACUGGGCGUAAAGGGUGCGUAGGUGGUCUUUCAAGUCGGUGGUUAACGGCUACUGCUCAACCGUAGUUAGCCUCCGAAACUGGAAGACUUGAGUGCAGGAGAGGAAAGUGGAAUUCCCAGUGUAGCGGUGAACUGCGUAGAUAUUGGGAGGAACACCAGUAGCGAAAGCGGCUUUCUAGACUGCAACUGACACUGGGGCACGAAAGCGUGAGUAGCAAACAGG